GGGGAUAUAGCUCAGUUGGCUAGAGCGCCUGCCUUGCAAGCAGGAGGUCAAGGGUUCGACUCCCUUUAUCUCCACCA
rnacentral:tRNA from 1 species